rnacentral:rRNA from 1 species
GGCGGCGUGCUUAANACAUGCAAGUCGAACGGGCUGAAGUGGUAGCUUGCUAUUAUGGAUGCUAGUGGCAAACGGGUGAGUAACGCGUAGGCAACCUGCCGUUGAGAUGGGGACAACAUCCCGAAAGGGGUGCUAAUACCGAAUGUUGUGGAAGUCUCGCAUGGGACAUCCACUAAAGAUGACCUCUAUUUAUAAGUUAUCGCUCAACGAUGGGCCUGCGUCUGAUUAGCUAGUUGGUGGGGCAACGGCCUACCAAGGCGACGAUCAGUAGCCGGUCUGAGAGGAUGAACGGCCACAUUGGAACUGAGACACGGUCCAGACUCCUACGGGAGGCAGCAGUGGGGAAUCUUCCGCAAUGGGCGAAAGCCUGACGGAGCAACGCCGCGUGAGUGAAGAAGGCCUUCGGGUCGUAAAGCUCUGUUGAAGGGGACGAAUGUCAAGACUAUCAACAACGGUUUUGAAUGACGGUACCUUUCGAGGAAGCCACGGCUAACUACGUG